rnacentral:rRNA from 1 species
UACGAAGGGGGCUAGCGUUGUUCGGAAUCACUGGGCGUAAAGCGCACGUAGGCGGAUUGUUAAGUCGGGGGUGAAAUCCUGAGGCUCAACCUCAGAACUGCCUUCGAUACUGCGGGUCUCGAGUCCGGGAGAGGUGAGUGGAAUUCCUAGUGUAGAGGUGAAAUUCGUAGAUAUUAGGAAGAACACCAGUGGCGAAGGCGGCUCACUGGCCCGGUACUGACGCUGAGGCGCGAAAGCGUGGGGAGCAAACAGG